GACGAACGCUGGCGGCGUGCUUAAAACAUGCAAGUCGAACGAAGAGGCGAACGGGUGAGUAAUACGUGGGUAACCUGCCCACCUGUUUGGGAUAAGACUUGGAAACGGGGUCUAAUACCGAAUAAAGGGGGAUGGGCUGGCGGCCGAUCAGGUUGUUGGUGGGGUGAUGGGCUACCAAGGCGGUGACGGGUAGCCGGCCUGAGAGGGGAACCGGACACAUUGGUACGGUGAUACGGCCCAGGUGCGUACGGAGGGGAGCAGGGGGGGAUAUGGCCGAAUGGGCGAAAGCGUGAUGCCGCGAGGCCGCUGGGGGGAUGAAGGUUGUAGGGUUGUAAACUUCUUGCGCAAUCGAACGGGUAGCUGGAGAAGAAGCGCCGGCUAACUACGUGCCAGCAGCCGCGGUAAUAC
rnacentral:rRNA from 1 species